rnacentral:tRNA from 1 species
GUUAUUGUAGCUUAAUAAAGCAUAGCACUGAAAAUGCUAAAAUGGUGACGCACCCAAUAACA